rnacentral:misc_RNA from 1 species
GAUGAAGGACGUAGCGAAAUGCGAUAAGUAAUGUGAAUUGCAGAAUUCAGUGAAUCAUCGAAUCUUUGAACGCACAUUGCGCCCGCCAGUAUUCUGGCGGGCAUGCCUGUUCGAGCGUCAUUACAACCCUCAGGCCCCCGGGCCUGGCGUUGGGGAUCGGCGGAGCCCCCCGUGGGCACACGCCGUCCCCCAAAUACAGUGGCGGUCCCGCCGCAGCUUCCAUCGCGUAGUAGCUAACACCUCGCGACUGGAGAGCGGCGCGGCCACGCCGUAAAACACCCAACUCUUCUGAAGUUGACCUCGAAUCAGGUAGGAAUACCCGCUGAACUUAAGCAUAUCAAUAAGCGGAGGA